rnacentral:rRNA from 1 species
UACGUAGGGUGCAAGCGUUGUCCGGAAUUAUUGGGCGUAAAGAGCUCGUAGGCGGCUUGUCACGUCGGCUGUGAAAACCCGGGGCUCAACUCCGGGCCUGCAGUCGAUACGGGCUGGCUUGAGUGCGGUAGGGGAGACUGGAAUUCCUGGUGUAGCGGUGAAAUGCGUAGAUAUUGGGAGGAACACCAGUGGCGAAGGCGGCUACCUGGACCGGUUCUGACGCUGAGGCGCGAAAGCGUGGGGAGCAAACAGG